GAUGAACGCUGGCGGCGCGCUUAACACAUGCAAGUCGAACGAUUAAAGCACCUUCGGGUAUGUAUAAAGUGGCGAACGGCUGAGUAACACGUGGGCAACCUGCCCCUCUCAUUGGGAUAGCCACGGGAAACCGUGGAUAAUACCGAAUACUUCGAGUCUCCCGCAUGGAAGACUCGAGAAAGCUCCGGCGGAGAGGGAUGGGCCCGCGGCCUGUUAGCUUGUUGGUGGGGUAACGGCCUACCAAGGCAAUGAUGGGUAGCUGGGUUGAGAGACCGACCAGCCAGAUUGGGACUGAGACACGGCCCAGACUCCUACGGGAGGCAGCAGUGGGGAAUCUUGCACAAUGGGCGAAAGCCUGAUGCAGCGACGCCGCGUGCGGGAUGAAGGCCUUCGGGUUGUAAACCGCUUUCAGCAGGGACGAGGCGAAAGUGACGGUACCUGCAGAAGAAGCCCCGGCUAACUACGUGCCAGCAGCCGCGGUAAUACGUAGGGGGCAAGCGUUAUCCGGAUUCAUUGGGCGUAAAGCGCUCGUAGGCGGUCUGUUAGGUCGGGAGUUAAAUCCGGGGGCUCAACCCCCGUUCGCUCCCGAUACCGGCAGACUUGAGUUUGGUAGGGGAAGGUGGAAUUCCUAGUGUAGCGGUGGAAUGCGCAGAUAUUAGGAAGAACACCAGUGGCGAAGGCGGCCUUCUGGGCCAUAACUGACGCUGAGGAGCGAAAGCUAGGGGAGCAAACAGG
rnacentral:rRNA from 1 species